AUUGAACGCUGGCGGAAUGCUUUACACAUGCAAGUCGAACGGCAGCACGGGGCAACCUGGUGGCGAGUGGCGAACGGGUGAGUAAUACAUCGGAACGUGCCCAAUCGUGGGGGAUAACGUAGCGAAAGUUACGCUAAUACCGCAUACGAUCUACGGAUGAAAGCGGGGGAUCGCAAGACCUCGCGCGAAUGGAGCGGCCGAUGUCAGAUUAGGUAGUUGGUGGGGUAAAGGCUCACCAAGCCAACGAUCUGUAGCUGGUCUGAGAGGACGACCAGCCACACUGGAACUGAGACACGGUCCAGACUCCUACGGGAGGCAGCAGUGGGGAAUUUUGGACAAUGGGCGCAAGCCUGAUCCAGCCAUUCCGCGUGCAGGAUGAAGGCCUUCGGGUUGUAAACCUCUGUCAUGGGGAAGAAGGAAGUGACGGUACCCCAAGAGGAAGCCCCUGCUAACUACGUG
rnacentral:rRNA from 1 species